rnacentral:rRNA from 1 species
GACACGGCCCAAACUCCUACGGGAGGCAGCAGUAGGGAAUCUUCGGCAAUGGACGAAAGUCUGACCGAGCAACGCCGCGUGAGUGAAGAAGGUUUUCGGAUCGUAAAACUCUGUUGUUAGAGAAGAAUAAGGAUGAGAGUAACUGUUCAUCCCUUGACGGUAUCUAACCAGAAAGCCACGGCUAACUACGUGCCAGCAGCCGCGGUAAUACGUAGGUGGCAAGCGUUGUCCGGAUUUAUUGGGCGUAAAGCGAGC